rnacentral:rRNA from 1 species
ACCUGCGGAAGGAUCAUUUG